UCUGGUUUCUUGCAGGAGGUUCUGGGUCC
rnacentral:piRNA from 1 species